rnacentral:rRNA from 1 species
AUUGAACGCUGGCGGAAUGCUUUACACAUGCAAGUCGAACGGCAGCACGGACUUCGGUCUGGUGGCGAGUGGCGAACGGGUGAGUAAUGUAUCGGAACGUGCCCAGUCGUGGGGGAUAACGUAGUGAAAAUUACGCUAAUACCGCAUACGAUCUAUGGAUGAAAGCGGGGGAUCGCAAGACCUUGCGCGAUUGGAGCGGCCGAUAUCAGAUUAGGUAGUAGGUGGGGUAAAGGCCCACCAAGCAAACGAUCUGUAGCUGGUCUGAGAGGACGACCAGCCACACUGGAACUGAGACACGGUCCAGACUCCUACGGGAGGCAGCAGUGGGGAAUUUUGGACAAUGGGCGAAAGCCUGAUCCAGCCAUUCCGCGUGCAGGAUGAAGGCCCUCGGGUUGUAAACUGCUUUUGUACAGAACGAAAAGGUUUCUACUAAUACUAGGAGCUCAUGACGGUACUGUAAGAAUAAGCACCGGCUAACUACGUGCCAGCAGCCGCCGUAA